UGGGACAAAAGCUUGAUUGUCUCAUUGUAAUAUCAAAAGUUGGAAAUUGAUACAUGAGAAGAACAGCUUUAAGUGACCAAUCAGAAGUUUCAGUUUAGAGAAUCAAUUCAUAGGCUCCUUUGAUUUUUAUGCUUUGUUUUAAGGUCGCAAUUCUUAACCAUUCAACACUUUAUUUGCAGAAAAUUCAAAUUGAAUUGACUUUGAUGGUUUUUGGGGAAGAGAAAAUAUCACAUAAAACAAAAUUAACAUUGAUGCCUCUUCUGGGAGCCCGCAUGAGUUUCCUGCUCCGUAUCAGCUUAUCUUUUUCAGGUAAUCUUCUCAUAGUUUUUCCAAUCUGUGACUGAAGGAGUAAAUUCUGGGACCAAGUAAUUUGGUUGCUAGAAAAUCUCAUUAGAGCCUUGUGAGAAACCAAUGGAAGAUGCCCUAAACAACAUAUUGGAUGUGGCACAAGAAGAAAGCUUGCUAGUUACUUGCUUUUGUAUGAAGACCAGAUUGUUCAGGAAAAGAAGCACAAUAACCUGAUAAGAAUAAGAACAAAUUAGUAGUCGCAGUUAGAAAAAUAAACAGUGGCACAAGAAGACUGACCAGCGGAAAAAUUAAAGAAGCUUCCACUUGACAGAUGCUAUAACAGUCGAGUGCUGUAGAUACUGUUAUUCUGAUUCAGAUGUUGAGCCAACUUGGGCUGUAAGCUAGACUGCUUAUUGCUCAACAACAAUAAAUAUUUUGAGGCACUCAUUCUGUCCUUAAAAUUCUCAACAUAUGCUGCAACCGAAUGUCAAGUUAUAAAUGCUUCCAAGUGUAACAACCAAGGACAUAUUUUAAGGAAAACUUCGGGUUCUUUUGUAAUUAAACCUAGUUAAGAAGACGUUUUUCCAAAGAACAAUACUGAAUUGGAAAGUGAGGCAUCUUGAAUUUAGGAACUGCUUUCCGUGUUUUCACUUCAUCAUCACCAAUGAUGACAGAAGGAUUCCUUCCAGCCUGUAAGGAAAAGUAAUAAGAAAACAAGCUCAAAAGGGACAAACACAAAGCAACUUAUCUUUAAACCCUGUACUAGCUAAUUUCCAAAAGAUAAAAAGAACCGUUGAAUGUUAUCAAUGUCAUCAAACUUCAUCAAGAAACCUACCCAAGUGAUUAGAACUUUUCCAUAACUAUCAAUGGCUAUAAUUUCUAUUCAAAAGAACUGCUAAAUGUUAUCAAUUCAAUGCCACUGGCUCAUCAUGAGCACUCAAAUGUUUAAUUUACCAAUGGGCACGCACAUUGACAAGUUUUAAUACUGAACUACCUGAAAAUUGCUAGGAACACCGAACACCAAGUUCUAUAGCUUCCAACAUAUAACUGCAUUGAUAUAAACAAAUCAACUCUUCAUUAUCAAUCAGAAAAUUUUCAGGCUGAACAUAUUUUGUAAUAAAAUAGUCCCAACAUUCAAUUUUUGAAGGAAAAGAAUAAUGAUUUAUAGAAAAAAAUAUAGUCCAACAAUAUAUUUUUUUUUUCAAAUUUAACCCAUUUAUCUACCAAAAUGCACGAGUUGAUAAUGAUCAAUUAUGCCAGUCAAACAUGUAUUUCAAGAAAAGUCACAAACAAACAGGGAAAAGGAACAAUAAACCAAUAGUUUCAAAAGCUUCUCAAGCAAAGAUCUAGGAUCCAUUUACAUGAAAAAAAAAUUUCAUUCCUGGCUGGAGAAAUUGGGUCGAUUGUACUACAAAUUCAUAAUUGAACAAGGAAGGCCACAAUCUUCCAUUAAAGCAGAAGCAGCAACUUACAAAGGUCUAACAUUCACAAUCUGUAACAGAAUUAACUCAUUAUAAUGAUAAUCAGCACAACUAAUUCCAAAUAAAGAGAAAUGAAAAUUGAUAUUAGUUAAUUCCUGGGAUUCCAACCAAGAAAGCUUAAGUAAUAAAAAUUGAUAUUCGUUCUUUCAGCGUCGUUUUCCAGCGAGUAAGGAAGUAAAAUUAAGGUUAGGGUUUUGAUGCGACACCUUACAAUACGGAGAUGAGUACAAGCACUAGCAGAGACCUUCAAAAUCGACAUCAAGUCGCGAAAGAGGAAAUCCGAGAGAAAUCGAACGCCCUAAAUCACUUCUGAUUUGAGCUUCGUAAAGGCAGAGGAGAAAGUGACACUUCUGAUUGAGUCUUUAGGAAACUGAAUACGUAUACG
rnacentral:misc_RNA from 1 species